ACGACUCUCGGCAACGGAUAUCUCGGCUCUCGCAUCGAUGAAGAACGUAGCGAAAUGCGAUACCUGGUGUGAAUUGCAGAAUCCCGCGAACCAUCGAGUCUUUGAACGCAAGUUGCGCCUGAGGCCACUCGGCCGAGGGCACGCCUGCCUGGCGUCACGCC
rnacentral:rRNA from 1 species